rnacentral:piRNA from 1 species
UAAAUUAAGCCCAGGACCGAGCUAGU